GAUGAACGCUGGCGGCGUGCUUAACACAUGCAAGUCGAACGGGAUCCGUCAAGCUUGCUUGGCGGUGAGAGUGGCGAACGGGUGAGUAAUGCGUGACCAACCUGCCCCAUGCUUCGGAAUAGCUCCUGGAAACGGGUGGUAAUGCCGGAUGCUCCGCACUGUCGCAUGAGGGUGUGGGAAAGGGUUUACCGGCAUGGGAUGGGGUCGCGUCCUAUCAGCUUGUUGGCGGGGUGAUGGCCUGCCAAGGCUUCGACGGGUAGCCGGCCUGAGAGGGCGACCGGCCACAUUGGGACUGAGAUACUGCCCAGACUCCUACGGGAGGCAGCAGUGGGGAAUAUUGCACAAUGGGCGCAAGCCUGAUGCAGCGACGCCGCGUGCGGGAUGACGGCCUUCGGGUUGUAAACCGCUUUUGAUUGGGAGCAAGCGGGAGUGAGUGUACCUUUCGAAUAAGCACCGGCUAACUACGUGCCAGCAGCCGCCGUAA
rnacentral:rRNA from 1 species